AGGUCAUCUAGUCCAACUUCCCUGCAAUGAACA
rnacentral:miRNA from 7 species